rnacentral:rRNA from 1 species
CCUACGGGUGGCAGCAGUGGGGAAUAUUGGACAAUGGGCGAAAGCCUGAUCCAGCCAUGCCGCGUGUGUGAAGAAGGCCUUCGGGUUGUAAAGCACUUUCAGUGGGGAAGAAAGCCUUGGGGCUAAUACCCUCGAGGAAGGACAUCACCCACAGAAGAAGCACCGGCUAACUCCGUGCCAGCAGCCGCGGUAAUACGGAGGGUGCGCGCGUUAAUCGGAAUUACUGGGCGUAAAGCGCGCGUAGGCGGUCUGAUAAGCCGGUUGUGAAAGCCCCGGGCUCAACCUGGGAACGGCAUCCGGAACUGUCAGGCUAGAGUGCAGGAGAGGAAGGUAGAAUUCCCGGUGUAGCGGUGAAAUGCGUAGAGAUCGGGAGGAAUACCAGUGGCGAAGGCGGCCUUCUGGACUGACACUGACGCUGAGGUGCGAAAGCGUGGGUAGCAAACAGGAUUAGAUACCCUGGUAGUC